rnacentral:rRNA from 1 species
GCUUUCACAUGCAAGUCGUACGAGAGUUUUUAAUUCAAGUGGCGGACGGGUGAGUAACACGUAAGAAUUUGCCUCUAGGAGGGGACAACAACUGGAAACGGUUGCUAAUACCCCAUAUGCUUCCGAGUGAAAUGGAAUUUUCCGCCUAGAGAGAAGCUUGCGGCUGAUUAGCUUGUUGGUAAGGUAAUGGCUUACCAAGGCGACGAUCAGUAUCUGGUUUGAGAGGACGAUCAGACACACUGGAACUGAGACACGGUCCAGACUCCUACGGGAGGCAGCAGUGGGGAAUUUUCCGCAAUGGGCGAAAGCCUGACGGAGCAAUACCGCGUGAGGGAUGACGGCCUAUGGGUUGUAAACCUCUUUUUUCAGGGAGGAAUAAAAUGACGUGUACCUGAAGAAUAAGCAUCGGCUAACUCCGUGCCAGCAGCCGCGGUAAGACGGAGGAUGCAAGUGUUAUCCGGAAUCACUGGGCGUAAAGCGUCUGUAGGUGGUUUGAUAAGUCAACUGCUAAAUCUUGAGGCUCAACCUCAAAAUCGCAGUCGAAACUAUUAGACUAGAGUAUAGUAGGGGUAAAGGGAAUUUCCAGUGGAGCGGUGAAAUGCGUAGAGAUUGGAAAGAACACCGAUGGCGAAGGCACUUUACUGGGCUAUUACUGACACUCAGAGACGAAAGCUAGGGUAGCAAAUGGGAUUAGAUACCCCAGUAGUCCUAGCCGUAAACAAUGGAUACUAGAUGUUGAACAGAUCGACCUGUGCAGUAUUAAA